UCGGCUGUGGGGUAACGGUAUCCUGCUGGCUUUUGGUGCCAUGCGAUCCUGGUUCGAGUCCAGGCAGCCGAG
rnacentral:tRNA from 1 species